UAUUGGUAAGAUCAAGUUUACAAAAGACACAAAAACGGACUCGUUCAAAAAUUAUUCUCAUAUUUUCCCCAUAACGCUAUACAAUGUUUGGAAAGAAACAUGAAAAAAAUGUGGCGAUUUCGCUCAUGCCAAUGUUACCCUCACAUGCCAAAUUGCUUAUCUUACACCUGAAGGCCAGCUUAAGUUAAACCAUGACUUUAACUCUGAGGAUCUUCCGGCAGUGGUAGGAACACCAUCACCAUCGCCACGCACCGGACCCCGCACUAGUGAACCACGCCCCGGCAGCGGUGGAUGAUUACGGUUGUAAUCACCUGAACCGUAGCCCGCAUGUGGCUUACACGUCUCUGCGGGAGCCUCCUCAUCCAGGUAUGGCUGUGAACCCUGUGAUCAUGGGCCAUCGAGUUACCAGCAGGAGUUCCACUGCUGGUGGAACUCCUGCGGAAGUUCCACCUUCCUCUUCCGGAGUUCCACUGCUGGUUGUUUGUUCGCAAAAGCAGGUUGAAACUAGACCAGUUUUCCGGUGUCCAAAACCGACCACGAAUCCAAUUCUUGUCCAUGUAUUCCAGCAGCCUUGCCAGUUCCUGUGGUGCUGAGUCCCGCAAACCGUCAAAUACGGAAGGAAGAUACGCAAGGCAAAGAAGACGGAAUACAAAAUCUCGAAUUGGAUUGGGCCCUUUUUUGUUAUAAGCUGAAGAAAGCUUUAGGUCGCGAAUCUUCUUCAAGAUAGCUUGACACCAAUGGAAAUUGCAUCCUUGGUGGAUUGAUGAUUAAUAUCUUAAAUAAAUAAAUUGUGCUUCUUGACUUCAAUAGGUUA